GACGAACGCUGGCGGCGUGCUUAACACAUGCAAGUCGAACGGAAAGGCCCUGCUUUUGUGGGGUGCUCGAGUGGCGAACGGGUGAGUAACACGUGAGUAACCUGCCCUUGACUUUGGGAUAACUUCAGGAAACUGGGGCUAAUACCGGAUAGGAUCUCCUGCUGCAUGGUGGGGGUUGGAAAUUUUCGGCGGUUGGGGAUGGACUCGCGGCUUAUCAGCUUGUUGGUGGGGUAGUGGCUUACCAAGGCUUUGACGGGUAGCCGGCCUGAGAGGGUUACCGGCCACAUUGGGACUGAGAUACGGCCCAGACUCCUACGGGAGGCAGCAGUGGGGAAUAUUGCACAGUGGGCGGAAGCCUGCUGCAGCGACGCCGCGUGCGGGAUGACGGCCUGCGGGUUGUAAACCGCUUUCGCCUGUGACGAAGCGUGAGUGACGGUAAUGGGUAAAGAAGCACCGGCUAACUACGUG
rnacentral:rRNA from 1 species